CGGGCGGAAAUGACGAAGCUGGAGGUGCCGGUGGUGAUGGGGGUGACCAGAGUGAAGUCAUUGAAGCAAGCUCGCCGUCUUCCUCCUCCUCCUCCGUUAAUCAACUUUUCGAUGGUCUGGCGAGGUUGGAUUCAUGUAUCUCAAGUGUUGGCCAGACAGCUGUGAUGACUAGGGAUCAUCUCCAGGAUUAGGCUGCAUGAGUUGGAAGUCCUGCCUGUAUUUUCUGCCAUCACUUGAAGCAGAACUGGACUAUUUCUUCUUUUUGAACUACGUUGUUCCCUUUUUUUUUUCUGUUUGUUGCAGUAGUAUGUUCGGAAGAAUGGCCAAUGUCUUUCUUGUUGUUCAAGAGGCUUGCAAAUUUGUUUGAGGGUACACUUAGCAUUCGCAAAGGUGGACAAAGAUUCAAAGACAUUUAGAGAAAAGAGGUCUGCUAGGGUUUCCUCUCUUUAUCAAUUUCUGCUAGAAUAUUCAAUCUCUGUCUCUCUCUCUCUUCCUCUUCCCCUACCGGAAAUCUCAAUAUCUUCCUCUUCCCCUUGCUGCCGCAACCUGCGCCCGCCGCCGCGCAAGACGCCGCCGCCGUCGCCGCGCAAGACGAAAAACUGAGAGAGAUUACAGUUCUUGGAGAGCAUCAACGAGACUGAUUAAAAAAUCUCCUUCCGAAAUAGAGUUCUGAGUUUUCUCCCUAAACCUCUCUACCAGGUUUCUUUCCUUUAGAUUCAUUCAUUUCCUUCUUUGUCAUCCUUCUUAUGCAAAGUUUCAUUAGAUUGAACUUGUUCGAAUUGGAUUAGUCAUUAGAUUGAAGAUCAUGCCAAACCCCUUUAAGCUAGCCAAGAAAAGUUUCUUAAUUGAAUAUCUUAUUCUUGUUUAAAUGAACUAUGAUUUAAAUUGUUUCAAUGGAACCAAAUUUAGGUGCUCAACUGCUCACAGAAACUAUAUGCAUAUAUAAUCAAUGAGGAAAAUGCUAUUUCAGAUAGAAUUUUUAGUUAUUAGCAGAGCUAAUCUUAACAAAUUAUUUUGUUAUUUGUAAAUUACCAGUCUAUAAUUAGGAGUUUUAAUUUAUCUUUUUAUUAAAUAUCAAGAAAAAAAUGAUCUUUAUAGUGAUUUUUAAUUCAAACAAGUACAAAUAUCAAAUUUCCAAUUGACUUGUAUAUAAGAAAAAAUCUUUAUUCAAAUAUAUGGGUUUAACAUUGUCUUUUGAUAUGAAUUAGCAAUCUGGUAUAUCCAAGAAAAAAUAUGGCCAACAGAUUAUUAUUUUUACCAAAACAAACGAAGGAAUCAAGAUCUGGAAUAUCUCUUGGAAUCAUAAAAUCAACGAGGCAUUCUAUUAUUUGCUUGUUCUUAGUACUGUAAUGAUGCCUUGAUCUCAUUAUCCAAUUAUAUUUAUUUGAUUAUUGUCUUAGUGAUAAGUUGGAAUUUCUGAUGAGAAACAAACAAUUUGCAAACCCAGCAGCUUAGUCAGAUCAUGGCUUCUCCUUCUCAAACUCACCUCAAUGUUGCAAUGCGGGUCCUUCUCAAACAUCUAAAGGUCGAUUGUCAUUUUGUUUGACAAAAAGUUCAAGCGGGUGUGAUGAAAUUACUUUCAGUUCCUUCUUCUCGACAAUUGACCGACAUCCUUAUCAAAUCUUCCUCCACUCAAUCGUUUGAUGCUAAUAAAUCUUCCUAGAGAGGUCUGCUAGGGAGCACAAAAUUAGGGCAAUUGGUAAAUUUUAAAUUGCUUUUGUUACUAUAUUACCCUAUUUGGUUGCAUGUCAUUGUUUUCAUGUGUGUUUUAUGUAGAUAUUAGAUGUGCUUCUCUUGUAGGUUUAACUCUAAUGUUAUGUUUUGUGAAGCUGUUUUAGUUUCAAUAUUUGGAGAUUGAUUUCCCCAUCAUCAGGUAGCUUUUUCUUGCCUUGUAAUGAUUCAACUCUUAACCUGCAGAGAGCUUUUUUAAAUUAUCCUCGUUUUAGCUUUUUAUUGUUAUAUUUCAAUCUCUCUUGUCCAUCCUCUCAUUUCUGGAUUCUUUUUCUUCUAAUGUUUCAUGUAUUCAGUCUUCAUUAGAGCUUGAUCAUUAUUUGUAUCCCGGAUAAAGGUGAUGAAUCAGGGCCAAUCAUACUUUAUCUGGAUUUUUAUAUGCGAUAUUUGAAGCAGCAAGCAUCUUUGGAGAUCGUUAUCCAAGUAUAAUUUUUUUAAUACAUAUUUCUACAAGAAGCUUCAGGAUUCUGUUUCGGUUAAGAUAAUAUAUUAUCUUUAUGCACAUGCAUAGCUGUAUAUUUAAUUCAAUCUUUGGAAAGAGCUCAAGAAGGGCAAACGAAGCAUAGAAGUGCACAUCAUAUGUGCACCAUAUGAUAUAUUCAACACCUUCCAAGUACAGAAACCUUCCAACAUCAUCUCUGUCAUAUUGCUGGUCUAUCAUUGCCAGAGUAACACUAGCAUCACUUUCUUGGGAGAGAUCACCACGAUGUUUUUCAUCCACGCCAUCUACCAUGCAAUCAACGUCACUGGCACUAUCUGUUGUAUACUCAACAUCAUAGGUGCUAUCUGUUGUACGCCCAGCAUCUGCACCUUGUCUACGACUCACUUUGGCUUCAGUUACUUUGACUUCUGUAUUUUCCAAUUCUUUUACCUGAUCCCGUUGAACUUUUUGUCAAACAAAAUGACAAUUGACCUUUGGAUGUUUGAGAA